GUUCUCUGUAAACAACUGAGCAGGUGUAUUAUUAGGUGUACCUAAUAAAGUGGCUGAUGUAACUGCUUACUGCCAUGAAAGGAACGUAAGGGCAGGGGAAUGACAGAAGGGUAUAAGAAGCACAACACACAGCUAGGAAAGAUAUAGGAAAGAUAUAGGAAAGGGAGAGAGAAUCCAUUUUUUGUCAUGUUGGCUUUUUAAUAAACCUGUUACUCACUUUGAUAAAGA